GACGGAGGAUGCAAGUGUUAUCCGGAAUCACUGGGCGUAAAGCGUCUGUAGGUGGUUUAAAAAGUCUACUGUUAAAGCUUGAAGCUUAACUUCAAAAAUGCCGUAGAAACUUUUAAACUUGAGUAUGGUAGGGUGGAGGAAUUCCAGUGGAGCGGUGAAAUGCGUAGAUCUUGGAAAGACCACCAAUGGCGAAGGCACUCUACUGGGCCAUUACUGACACUAAGAGACGAAAGCUAGGGAGCAAAUGGG
rnacentral:rRNA from 1 species